rnacentral:rRNA from 1 species
CAACGUGGGGAACCUGCCCCAUAGUCUGGGAUACCACUUGGAAACAGGUGCUAAUACCGGAUAAGAAAGCGGAUCGCAUGAUCAGCUUUUAAAAGGCGGCGUAAGCUGUCGCUAUGGGAUGGCCCCGCGGUGCAUUAGCUAGUUGGUAAGGUAAAGGCUUACCAAGGCGAUGAUGCAUAGCCGAGUUGAGAGACUGAUCGGCCACAUUGGGACUGAGACACGGCCCAAACUCCUACGGGAGGCAGCAGCU